GAUCCUGACGGUAGUCGUAUGCUCGUCUCCGAGACUAAGCCAUGCAAGUCCAAGUACACGUCCGUGCACGGCGGAAACUGCGAACGGCUCAUUAAACCAGUUACGAUCCACUCGGCGUUCGUUCGGCCGGAUAACCGUAGUAAUUCUAGGGCUAAUACGUGCGAGGGGCCCGAAGCCGCGAGGCGACGGGCGUACUCGCCGGAAACGGAACCGACCCGGGGACUGUCGGGCGACCGGCGUCCCCGAGACCGGGUGAACCACGGCGAACCGACGGAUCGCCGGCCCCGCGCCGGCGACCCGCCGAACGAGUUUCUGACCUAUCAACCGUCGACGGUGGGGUAGAGGCCCACCGUGGUAGUAACGGGUAACGGGGAAUCGGGGUUCGAUUCCGGAGAGGGAGCCCGAGAAACGGCUACCACUUCCAAGGAAGGCAGCAGGCGCGCAACUUACCCUAAUCUCGAUUCGAGGAGGUAGUGACAAGAAAUACCGAUGCGGGACCCUACGGGUACCGCGUUCGGAAUGAGUACGAUUCGAACCACCUAACGAGGAACGAUUGGAGGGCAAGUCUGGUGCCAGCAGCCGCGGUAAUUCCAGCUCCAACGGCGUACGUUAAAGUUGCUGCAGUUAAAAAGCUCGUAGUUGAAUGUCGGGUCCCGCGGGACAGGGCCGCCCCUCGGGGACGGCCCGGCUCCGGGACCCCGCCUCCGCGCGCGUCCCCUCCCUCGGGGGGGGUCGUGGCGGAAGAGUUUACCUGGAAAAAAUCGGAGCGAUCCAGGCGGGCGGAACCUCGCCGCGAACGAUCGGACACGGGAUAACGGAAGAGGGCGUCGACCCAACUUCGUUGGUUCCUUGGGCCGAAGCACGUACGAUCGACAGGGACGGUCGGGGCCGCUCGUACCGGGC
rnacentral:rRNA from 1 species